rnacentral:rRNA from 1 species
AACGCUGGCGGCGUGCCUAAUACAUGCAAGUCGAGCGAGCUUGCCUAGAUGAUUUUAGUGCUUGCACUAAAUGAAACUAGAUACAAGCGAGCGGCGGACGGGUGAGUAACACGUGGGUAACCUGCCCAAGAGACUGGGAUAACACCUGGAAACAGAUGCUAAUACCGGAUAACAACACUAGACGCAUGUCUAGAGUUUGAAAGAUGGUUCUGCUAUCACUCUUGGAUGGACCUGCGGUGCAUUAGCUAGUUGGUAAGGUAACGGCUUACCAAGGCAAUGAUGCAUAGCCGAGUUGAGAGACUGAUCGGCCACAUUGGGACUGAGACACGGCCCAGACUCCUACGGGAGGCAGCAGUUAGGAAUAUUGGGCAAUGGAGGAAACUCUGACCCAGCAACGCCGCGUGAAGGAAGAAGGUUUUCGGACUGUAAACUUCUGAUCUAAGGGAAAAAGAAAGUGAUGGUACCUUAGGAGAAAGCCACGGCUAACUACGUGCCAGCAGCCGCGGUAA